CAUGCAAAACAUUUUGGGACUGUAUCAACAGUGGACUAAUGAGUGGAUUUACCCUUUUAAGUUAGAUGCUGGUAACAGGCUGCUAUGAAGUUACAACUAAUAUGCGAAUUGAAUGUGUUUUUUUCCCCCGUGGGAUUCCUGGUCUCCAGUGUAUUCCUUGUAGCACAGAGAAAUGUUCUCACACUGGCUGAUAGCUAGUCAACUCUGUUACUGACCUCUACAGCUGUAUAACACAACUCCCGCGAGUACAGUUGUACAACUCCAGCUAGUUUACUCUGUUCUAUAGAGGUACAGUUGUACAACUCCAGUUAGUUUACACUGUUCUAUAGAGGUACAGUUGUACAACUCCAGCUAGUUUACUCUGUUCUAGAGAGGUACAGUUGUACAACUCCAGCUAGUUUACACUGUUCUAGAGAGGUACAGUUGUACAACUCCAGCUAGUUUACACUGUUCUAGAGAGGUACAGUUGUACAACUCCAGCUAGUUUACACUGUUCUAGAGAGGUACAGUUGUACAACUCCAGCUAGUUUUCACUGUUCUAGAGAGGUACAGUUGUACAACUCCAGCUAGUUUACACUGUUCUAUACCAGUACAGUUGUACUACUCCAGCUAGUUUACACUGUUCUAGAGAGGUACAGUUGUACAACUCCAGCUAGUUUACACUGUUCUAUACCAGUACAGUUGUACAACUCCAGCUAGUUUACACUGUUCUAGAGAGGUACAGUUGUACAACUCCAGUUAGUUUACACUGUUCUAUACCAGUACAGUUGUACAACUCCAGCUAGUUUACACUGUUCUAUAGAGGUACAGUUGUACAACUCCAGCUAGUUUACACUGUUCUAUACCAGUACAGUUGUACAACUCCAGCUAGUUUACACUGUUCUAUACCAGUACAGUUGUACAACUCCAGCUAGUUUACACUGUUCUAGAGAGGUACAGUUGUACAACUCCAGUUAGUUUACACUGUUCUAUACCAGUACAGUUGUACAACUCCAGCUAGUUUACACUGUUCUAUACCAGUACAGUUGUACAACUCCAGCUAGUUUACACUGUUCUAGAGAGGUACAGUUGUACAACUCCAGUUAGUUUACACUGUUCUAUACCAGUACAGUUGUACAACUCCAGCUAGUUUACACUGUUCUAUACCAGUACAGUUGUACAACUCCAGCUAGUUUACUCUGUUCUAUAGAGGUACAGUUGUACAACUCCAGCUAGUUUACACUGUUCUAGAGAGGUACAGUUGUACAACUCCAGUUAGUUUACACUGUUCUAUAGAGGUACAGUUGUACAACUCCAGUUAGUUUACACUGUUCUAUACCAGUACAGUUGUACAACUCCAGCUAGUUUACACUGUUCUAUAGAGGUACAGUUGUACAACUCCAGCUAGUUUACACUGUUCUAUACCAGUACAGUUGUACAACUCCAGCUAGUUUACUCUGUUCUAUAGAGGUACAGUUGUACAACUCCAGCUAGUUUACACUGUUCUAGAGAGGUACAGUUGUACAACUCCAGCUAGUUUACACUGUUCUAGAGAGGUACAGUUGUACAACUCCAGCUAGUUUACACUGUUCUAGAGAGGUACAGUUGUACAACUCCAGUUAGUUUACACUGUUCUAUAGAGGUACAGUUGUACAACUCCAGCUAGUUUACACUGUUCUAGAGAGGUACAGUUGUACAACUCCAGUUAGUUUACACUGUUCUAUACCAGUACAGUUGUACAACUCCAGCUAGUUUACACUGUUCUAUACCAGUACAGUUGUACAACUCCAGCUAGUUUACACUGUUCUAGAGAGGUACAGUUGUACAACUCCAGUUAGUUUACACUGUUCUAUACCAGUACAGUUGUACAACUCCAGCUAGUUUACACUGUUCUAGAGAGGUACAGUUGUACAACUCCAGAUAGUUUACACUGUUCUAGAGAGGUACAGUUGUACAACUCCAGUUAGUUUACACUGUCCUCUAGAGGUACAGUUGUACAACUCCAGCUAGUUUACACUGUUCUAUAGAGGUACAGUUGUACAACUCCAGCUAGUUUACACUGUUCUAGAGAGGUACAGUUGUACAACUCCAGAUAGUUUACACUGUUCUAUACCAGUACAGUUGUACAACUCCAGCUAGUUUACACUGUUCUAGAGAGGUACAGUUGUACAACUCCAGUUAGUUUACACUGUUCUAGAGAGGUACAGUUGUACAACUCCAGAUAGUUUACACUGUUCUAUACCAGUACAGUUGUACAACUCCAGCUAGUUUACACUGUUCUAUACCAGUACAGUUUUACAACUCCAGAUAGUUUACACUGUUCUAUACCAGUACAGUUGUACAACUCCAGCUAGUUUACACUGUUCUAGAGAGGUACAGUUGUACAGCGGAGUCAAUCACCACCUUCCGGAGACACC